rnacentral:tRNA from 1 species
GGAUUGUAGCUCAGUGGUACAGUGCUUGCCUCAUAUGCGAGAGGUGCUGGAUUCGAUCCUCAGCACCA